AUCUUCAGGGCCAGGUGGAAUUCCUGACCGGCGGUAAGGCGCUGUUGUCCAGCCCGAGCCCGCGACUCGCCGCUGUUAAGCGGCGACUGAUUUGGUGCAAAGCCAAAGCCGACGGUAUAGUCCGGAUGGAAGAAGAU
rnacentral:ncRNA from 1 species